UACGGGAGGCAGCAGUGGGGAAUAUUGCACAAUGGGCGCAAGCCUGAUGCAGCCAUGCCGCGUGUAUGAAGAAGGCCUUCGGGUUGUAAAGUACUUUCAGUCGUGGGGAAGGUGUUAAGGUUAAUAACCUUAGCAAUUGACGUUAGCGACAGAAGAAGCACCGGCUAACUCCGUGCCAGCAGCCGCGGUAAUACGGAGGGUGCGAGCGUUAAUCGGAAUUACUGGGCGUAAAGGGCACGCAGGCGGUUAAUUAAGUUGGAUGUGAAAUCCCCGGGCUUAACCUGGGAAUGGCAUUCAAGACUGGUUAGCUAGAGUCUUGUAGAGGGGGGUUAGAAUUCCAUGUGUAGCGGUGAAAUGCGUAGAGAUGUGGAGGAAUACCGGUGGCGAAGGCGGCCCCUGGACAAAGACUGACGCUCAUGUGCGAAAGCGUGGGGAGCGAAACAGGGAUUAGAUA
rnacentral:rRNA from 1 species